AUUGAACGCUGGCGGCAUGCCUUACACAUGCAGGUCGAACGGCAGCACGGGUGCUUGCACCUGGUGGCGAGUGGCGAACGGGUGAGUAAUACAUCGGAACGUACCUUAUCGUGGGGGAUAACGCAGCGAAAGCUGUGCUAAUACCGCAUACGCCCUGAGGGGGAAAGCGGGGGAUCGCAAGACCUCGCGCGAUUAGAGCGGCCGAUGCCUGAUUAGCUUGUUGGUGGGGUAAAAGCCCACCAAGGCGACGAUCAGUAGCUGGUCUGAGAGGACGAACAGCCACACUGGGACUGAGACAAGGCCCAGACUCCUACGGGAGGCAGCAGUGGGGAAUUUUGGACAAUGGGGGCAACCCUGAUCCAGCAAUGCCGCGUGAGUGAAGAAGGCCUUCGGGUGGUAAAGCUCUUUUGUCAGGGAAGAAACACCGGCUCUAACACAGUCUGGGAAUGACGGUACCUGAAGAAUAAGCACCGGCUAACUACGUGCCAGCAGCCGCCGCGG
rnacentral:rRNA from 1 species